GGGGAUUUAGCUCAGUGGUAGAGCGUAAGGCCCUGGGUUCGGUCCCCAGCUCCCCA
rnacentral:tRNA from 1 species